GGUGGCGUGGCCGAGUUGGUCUAAGGCGUCGGAUUUAAGCUUUCUUGAUUCCCGAUGGGAGCAAUCCCGCGCGAGUUCGAACCUCGCCGCCACCA